GGAGCAGAUAGACUGAGAGGGGGCAUACCUAUGAAUCAGUGAAGAAAUGUAAGAGGAGCUAGAGUUGGUUAGAGCUUUAAAGGUAAGGGUUAGUAUUUUAAAUUGACACCUGUAGGGUACAGGAAGCCAGUGUAAGGGUCGACAGAGGGGUGUGGUGUGAGAGGAGCAACAGGAAAGAAAGAUCAGCCUGGCAGCAGCAUUCAUCACAUAUUGUAA